rnacentral:ncRNA from 1 species
AGCCACUAGGGGUGCUAACUGCUGAGAUUGACACCAGUCAAAUCCCUUUGACCUGAUCCGGAUAAUGCCGGCGUAGGAAAGUGGUGUA